UCAUCCAAGCAAGACGUUUAUUGUUAUUACGUCUCGAGCCGAUUCUCAUACUGUGUAGAUCGUUUACAUUUCAGUAGAAAUCUUUGGAAUGUAUUAUCUAAUUUUCAGUUUAUUCAUGUAAUUAUUGUACAUUUGCUGUUUCAAGUUUUAAAUUAACAGUUUCUGUAUUUGAAUUGAAAAGGAUUUUUGCCUAUUCAUUUAUAGAUUACAUUUAGAUCUAGAUAUAAAGUAGUCCUUAGCAAGUCACAGUAAUUCUUCUAACUGCUGACAUCUUCUAAUCCUUGACAUCACGGUUACAGGAUCUUUAUGUAAGAGGUAAAAGUUCAUUCAUGAUCAUUACUACUUCGAGAGCUUAUUCAUCGUGGCAUCUAUCAUCAUCAAAGAUCUUCAGAGAUUGUGAUAGAACGGCAUCUUUUACUCAAGUAUUAAAGACCAUUGACCGUGACAAAAUGCACCUCCGAUAAAUCACUGAAGAUCACCAAAAAAUCAUCAAAUUUUUUAUUCAAGAUUCAAGAUAUAAGGACAAUUUUCGUACUUUCUUCAAUUAUAGAACUUAAUUUUUUUUCAACUUGGAAUCAGAUCUACUGUGUCAAAAGGCCACACCGGCCACCCAGAUAUCCACGUGACCCUUCCCCCUAGAUGGCGCCUUGUGUCCGCGUAAAAAGGCAGAACAAUGUGGGCACUGUCCAUUCUACCGGCAUCUCUUUUCGCUGUAGUGUCUGUUCGUUAUUGGGCCUACAUCGUCUCCACUUCCUGUUUGUGCCUGGUUCUACACCAUGUGUUUAUGUAUGGCUGCAGGUCUUUAGUGUAAAACAAACUGAUUGAAAUCGGCCUACGAGUUGAAUUCGUCAUGUCAUUUAGAAUUUAGUUUGUUCUGUGCCAAACCCACCAAACUUAGACUAAGCGUCUAAGCCGACUAAGGCAACACUACAGAAAAAAAUAAAACUAGAUCUACAGCAGCAGCUUGAAGCAGCAAUACUAGAUACAGCAGAGGUUACAACUGUUAUAGCAGCAGAGUAAUAGCAGCAAUAUUAGAUACAGCAGUAACAAUAGCAGGCCGUCCCAGGUACAGAAUAAAAAAUAUUUACACGACAGACCACAAAGAUCUUCAGCUGUCACACAGACAGAGAUACUAAACUGACCACUGGUCAAAUGUACACUCAACUGUUUUAAGACAGCCUGCACAUCACUUUUUAUAAUAUGCCGCACUAACCUAUACAAAAAGCGAAAGUACAAAUAAUAAUUUUUGCCCUAGCCUAUAAAAAAGAAUAUAAAAAUAUAGCUCUAGCCUAUAGAAUUAAUAAAAUAUACAUAUAAAAACAGCUCUGAGAGCGCAAGCUAACAUAUGAGAGAAGUAAUGAAAUUAAAUGUGCCGCUGUAUGAUUAGUUAUUGUGUUUUAAGUGCUUAAUAAAUUGUUUACACUUAAUUACGUAGAGCGGUGUAGGUACCUUUUAUUUUGUUGUUUAUUUUGCUAGUGACCUCCAGCUGUCUCGUUCUGAGGCCGCAUGCAACCAGGUGCUCUCUUCUAUGUCAGCUAAGGCAAGUUGGCGCCUAAGCUGGUCUUUUAAGCGUUUCGGUGUUAUUUCGACCACUUUUUUAGCUCACCAAGAAAAGACUGCCUUUGGCAUGCGUUCGUCAGAGAUUUGUCUCCCAUACAGGAUACUGCUCUGUCUAGCGUAACUGUCGGACUUUAAAAAUCCCCUCUAUAGAAAGGUCGCGGAUACACAUUUGAGACCAAAAGAAAAUCUUAAUCAACCACCGGCGGACAAUGGUUAUGCUUGCCCUGGUUGUGGCAAAAUGUGUAGGUCACAUCUGGGGCUGCAUAGCCACGGGUAAUACUGCAAUCCUCAUUAAUCUUCGGACUCGAAGACAAGCCUUAUUAUUAUUAUUAUUUUGUUGGUGAAUUUUACCAUGUGUUCAUGCUUCGGUGUCUACUGUUCCUUAACAAAACAAAGAAAAUGGUCAUAUAACAGCUUCUCUACCUCUUACUUGCUGCGACAGGUUUUUGCGUGUGAUGUGUGUUUGGCUUGUUUAAUGCCUAGGGAAUGAUUAUUUUUGAAGCUAUCACAAACUGACCCAUCAGCAUAUAAAUCGCGCAACGAGACAAGCAAUGAAAGAGAGAUACAAAGUUAAAAAUUGAAGAAUAUUUACAUAAAUAUUUACAUAGAAGAAUAAAAAGGGGGAGGGUUUGCAUCUAUCUCCAAUCAAUACUAUAUUUAAUCAUCAAUCUUGCACUUAAUAAGAGAGUAUGUCAGUUUGUCCUCUGCACUUAGCUGGUUAUCCUACUGAUGUCGCAGCUGGCUGUGAUCCUGGCUUGAGGUUUUGCAGCUGGAGGUGGUGCUCUAGUGGAUAGAGGGUCGCCGGUGAUACAGUUCUUGUGGAGUCUCAAUCCAAAGUUCAAUAGCAAAUAGCGCAGUGAUUCGAUAAAUAGGCAGAAGUGCAGUGCUGAAUAGCACUAAGUACAUAUGCAAUUGAGUAGGUUGACGAGUGGUUGUCAAACAAUGCCGAAUAAAUAGGCAGACACCUGAGGGAGGCUGCGGAUAAACAAAGACAAGUUAGGACAUGUCUCUAAUGCAUCUUAUCGAUGCCCUCGACUGAGGUGCAUUCGUCAGAUUGGUAAAAUUGCUUUGGAGCAGAAUGUGGAGAUGAUGACAAAUGGGAUUGGGAAAUUUUAUGGCUGAUAAUAGCAUUAUAAAAUGUACAUAGUAAGGGAGAUAAUAAUCUCAAUUAAACAUCAUAAGUUGGAAGAGAAGGGGGGGGGGGGAAUGGACGGUGAUCAGUGACCAUGACGGUUUGUUUACAUAUGGCCGUCGGUCCUGAACAAUGGAGAGAGUGUCCGUUCAAGGGGCUCAACUCUCGUUAGAGUAAAAUGAGUAAAGGGGGAGAUAAUUCAUAUAUCUUCUCUAAGCGCAGUAUUAGUGCGCUAGUAAAAUUAUCAAAGCGGUCAGCUGAGAUAAAGGGAAUAAAAUACGAUGUACAAAUAUAUACAUGGUUGCAUCAACGAUCAAUUAAGCAACGUAGCAUUGAUAGAUUAAUGCAAUACAUAAUUAUAUACAUUUAUGCCAUGUUUAUGUUUUCUACUUGUGAGAGAAAUACACAAUGCACUAAUUAAAUAUAGAUGAAAUGAUAGAAUACACAUGAUAGUAUCCAUACACAAAGUAAUUAAGAUGGAACUGUGAUUAAGUUCGGCUUACCACCAGGUAUUCAUCUAAAAGUAACAAUGUAUUAAAUAGUCCUGACUCGACUGGUCAGCGAGAAUGAGAAGUGAGAGAGUGUCUGUCCCGCCUUACUCUACCUUAUAAAGGUCCGGGAGAGAUGGGCGGAAACAGGAAAUGCGAUAUGCCUAAGGAUUAUCUCUCACGUGGGUGAAUUUGACUCGAAAUGGGAGUCGCACCUUGGAGUGUCGAGGGGCGUGUUGAUCCGAGUUAUCUCUUUGAUCAAAGGGAGGGGGGGGGGAGAAAGAGUGAUUUGUAUUCCACCCAAGGAGGAGUCAACUGCGACCGUCCGACAUCCGGCGGGUAAAACCAAAGAGACUGUGUGUUUAUCUUUCCCCGGUCAUAGGAUGAUAAGUGAAAGCCGUGGCCUAGUUGUCGCCAAGGUGGUGAACUCAGUCUAGUGAGAAGAGGACAAGGUGGGGCGGGUGAUGAAAUUGGGGAUAGAACGGGGAAAUAAUUAAAAUAAAAUAAAUAAAUAAUAAUAAUUAAUGCUGUGAUAAAAUUGAGUGACUCUGACAGCAAGCUUUGACUUGUCACACUUGCUCACACUGAACAUGAUAUGUAGCUAGCGGUCAACGAGUUUGCUUAAGCUGCAGCCUCUUUUGAUUUAACUAUAAACCUCGGUAAAAAGCUUAGGGUUAGGGCGUGAAGACGGAACGCGCAAGAGAUAUCUGAAUGGAGGGAUGUGUAAAAGCAGGCUUUAUCCCUCCACUGGCUGUAGCACCACAGGGAUGGAUGGAUGGAUGGCAAAAGCCGGUAUGAACUUCUGAUAGUCCGACAGUCAGGCUGGGCAGGGCACGUAUCCCGUAUGAGGGACGAACAUAGUUUUCGGCGUAACAGAGAUGCCCCACGAAAACAUUUCUUUAGACAACUAAUGCAAUGAUUUAAGUCAAUUAAGAAAAAAAUGCGCCAUUUUACUUUGUCACAAAGUUCCCUUUUUUACCCUACAACGUAGAGAUUUUAUUCACUUAAUGUUUCGUACUAAAGCCAUAAUAAAAUGUCCGAGCAUAACCAUCUGGAUGUUACACUGCAAAGACUGUCUUCCAAGCCAAUAAUAGUAGGCCUACAAUAGUUUUACGCAAAGAUGCAUUGUAAAACUAUAAGACGGACGUGAGCUGUGGUUUGUCUAGACUGUAGGAGGACUUAGGAGACUUUAUAUUUAAUCGCCAUGUAUAAUUACAUUUAGAACUAAGAGAAGACUAAAGCAACUCGUCAGAUUAGUAGUCUUUAUCCGAUCGUUCAUUUUCGUAAUUACAAAAAUAUUCCCAAAAUGACUUCGUUAAGAAAUUAUUUAACCGAGCGAGGCUCGGCCACCUGAUACUAUAUCCUAUACUCUUAAGCGAGCACUUCUAGUAACCAGACUAGAAAAGGAUGUUGACAUUAGGUGACGAACGAUUUCCGUCCAAGUUGGGAGCCAAGAUAAAGAUGUUGUGAUCAAUAGAUGUUGUUCUACAUGCAUUUGUGAUGUCCUGUAAAUAAACAUAUAUAUGUCUCGUUGAGUUGCCUCACUUAAGUUAUUACAAUUGGUGUCUGAAGUGGGAUAAUAGGCAACUGAACGAGAGGAGGUAGGAUUCGAUCUCUAUGGCAUCGUUGAAGCUAUUUCAUCAGCUCUUAAUUAAAGAGCUAAGACAAGAGCUUCGGGACCAAGGUUUAAAACCCAUCGGUAGCAGGGAAACGCUCACGGCUCGUCUGCGGCAAGCUCUGAUCGAUGAAGAAGAAGAUCCGGAGACAUAUCAAUUUAAAAUUGAACUUGGGAUUGUUGAUGUUAUUUUCGAGAUUCAGGACUGUGGGGAUACAUAUGUGAGCAGGUCAGGAGGCGCUACUGAGUGAGACCUUUUAUUAGCUGCUCAACAUUUUUAGCGGCCCCCGUAAGGGGAAAAAGCCGCUAUUAGGUUUGUGCAAAAUGUCCGUCUGUCACACUCAGAUCCCGAAAACUAGAAGAGAUAUGAAAAAUAUUAUUUCAUCAUUAAAUGCGGCUUCAAAAGUUUAGGUGCAACGGCUACUUUUGGUUUUCUAAAAGCAAACCGUUUAAUUUAUAAAAUUAAUUAUGCAAGCGAUUUUUUCAUAAAAAUACACCAAUUCUAAAACAAUUACGUAAAUGUAAGGGAGGCAAUGUUACAAUAUGCUAACAAAGACGGACAAUUUUUGUGUAUUUUCAGUAUCACUGAGUCAAAUAUAUUUUAAAAAUGUACAGGAAAUGUUUACAACAAAUAUAAAUAAUAGUUAAAGAUGUUUUUUCUGGUCAACUAGCUGCUAAAAUUAAAAGAAAACAUUUCUGUUUGUUUUAAAGGCUAUUAAUGCAUUUUGUAUGUAAAUAUCACACACAUUUUUUUAAUGGACUUUUUAUGCAGCGAUUUUCGUGCAGUAGCGUAACGUCGCUACAUGACCAGGUACUAUACCAA